rnacentral:rRNA from 1 species
GCCUAUAAUCAUACCACUGAAUGGACCCAAUCUUGUCGGUUCUCAGAAGCUAAACAGAAUCAUGCCUGGUUGGUACUUCAAUGGGAGACUGCCUGGAAUAAUGAAUGCUAUAGGAU